rnacentral:pre_miRNA from 14 species
AUGUCUGCUUGUGAUCUCAGUUGCGGGAUUUUGGGGGCAAGAUGUGUUUUUUUUUUUAAAUCCAACUGGCCCGCAAAGUCCCGCUUCUGGUGCUCAUUCACUCAAC